GAAGGAGGAGCUUGCUUCUCCGGAUGAGUUGCGAACGGGUGAGUAACGCGUAGGUAACCUGCCUGGUAGCGGGGGAUAACUAUUGGAAACGAUAGCUAAUACCGCAUAACAGUAGAUAUUGCAUGAUAUCUGCUUGAAAGGUGCAAUUGCAUCACUACCAGAUGGACCUGCGUUGUAUUAGCUAGUUGGUGAGGUAACGGCUCACCAAGGCGACGAUACAUAGCCGACCUGAGAGGGUGAUCGGCCACACUGGGACUGAGACACGGCCCAGACUCCUACGGGAGGCAGCAGUAGGGAAUCUUCGGCAAUGGACGGAAGUCUGACCGAGCAACGCCGCGUGAGUGAAGAAGGUUUUCGGAUCGUAAAGCUCUGUUGUAAGAGAAGAACGAGUGUGAGAGUGGAAAGUUCACACUGUGACGGUAUCUUACCAGAAAGGGACGGCUAACUACGUGCCAGCAGCCGCGGUAAUACGUAGGUCCCGAGCGUUGUCCGGAUUUAUUGGGCGUAAAGCGAGCGCAGGCGGUUAGAUAAGUCUGAAGUUAAAGGCUGUGGCUUAACCAUAGUACGCUUUGGAAACUGUUUAACUUGAGUGCAAGAGGGGAGAGUGGAAUUCCAUGUGUAGCGGUGAAAUGCGUAGAUAUAUGGAGGAACACUGGUGGCGAAAGCGGCUCUCUGGCUUGUAUCUGACGCUGAGGCUCGAAAGCGUG
rnacentral:rRNA from 1 species